ACAGCAGUAGCCGCGGUAAUACAAAGGGUGCAAGCGUUAAUCGGAAUUACUGGGCGUAAAGCGUGCGUAGGCGGUUUGAUAAGUCUUGUGUGAAAUCUCUGGGCUCAACCCAGAGUCUGCACAGGAAACUGUCGGGCUUGAGAGUGGGAGAGGUGAGUGGAAUUUCCGGUGUAGCGGUGAAAUGCGUAGAUAUCGGAAGGAACACCUGUGGCGAAAGCGGCUCACUGGACCAUUUCUGACGCUGAUGCACGAAAGCUAGGGGAGCAAACAGGAUUAGAUACCCCCGUAGUCCCUGUCUCUUAUAC
rnacentral:rRNA from 1 species